AGAACGAACGCUGGCGGCAGGCCUAACACAUGCAAGUCGAACGCUGUAGCAAUACAGAGUGGCAGACGGGUGAGUAACGCGUGGGAACCUUCCCAGUGGUGCGGAAUAGCUCAGGGAAACUUGAGGUAAUACCGCAUAAGCCCUUAGGGGGAAAGAUUUAUCGCCAUUGGAUGGGCCCGCGUCGGAUUAGCUAGUUGGUGAGGUAAUGGCUCACCAAGGCAACGAUCCGUAGCUGGUUUGAGAGAAUGACCAGCCACACUGGGACUGAGACACGGCCCAGACUCCUACGGGAGGCAGCAGUGGGAAUCUUGGACAAUGGGCGCAAGCCUGAUCCAGCCAUGCCGCGUGAGUGACGAAGGCCUUAGGUUGUAAAGCUCUUUUGCCGGGACGAUAAUGACGGUACCGGAGAAUAAGUCCCGGCUAACUCGUGCCAGCAGCCGC
rnacentral:rRNA from 1 species